AGAGAACCUGAAACAUACGGAGCCUGUUUAAAGCAAGAAAAUGAUUUUUGCAAUAAUUCAGCCAUAGUGUCACAAUCUAGUCAACAGUCUUUAGAAAAAUUUGGAGAAAACACGAAAUAUUUUAUUUCCAAACAUCUCAACAAUGAUAGCAUCAUAAUGGAGAUUAAAAGAGAUUAUGGAUUUAUCAAAUAUGGAAAUAUAUGUCUACCUGUUAUAAAUGUUUAAGAAGAGAAAGCUAGAUGUAUAAGCAUGGCUUAAAAAGAUUGACAUCUACAAAUGUACUCACUUCUGAUUCAGCUUGGGUUCUUUGACAACGGUACUGAGCAAUCAAUCUGUCAGCCUGUGCAAGGGCUAAGGCUUUUGCUUCCAAAAGAUCCUGUAACCUACUUUCUUUGGACUAUGAAAGAUAAAAACAGUAGAUAGAAUGUAAAUUAAAUGUAUAGAUGAUAUGACUCCACCGCAAGAAAAUUUAAUCAGAGAUAGAAAUCACAACUGGGGAAAAAGGAAAAGCUUCAGAUCAUCAAGAUUCUGUUCUGUAAACUGAAGCUGGUCAAGAACACUGGGCAACAGUAGGACUAGAAAACGAUCAGUAGAGGAACAGGUGGC